GAGAGAACACAGAUCUUUUAGAAUUUCUUUUUGUUGGGCUUUCUGAUUUUGAUUAGAAAACCCAA
rfam:Mus musculus chromosome 13, GRC primary reference assembly.